rnacentral:rRNA from 1 species
GUAGGUGGCAAGCGUUGUCCGGGAAUUAUUGGGGCGUAAAGCGCGCGCAGGCGGUCCUUUAAGUCUGAUGUGAAAGCCCACGGGCUCAACCGUGGGAGGGUCAUUGGAAACUGGGGGACUUGAGUGCAGAAGGGGAGAGUGGAAUUCCACGUGUAGCGGUGAAAUGCGUAGAGAUGUGGAGGAACACCAGUGGCGAAGGCGACUCUCUGGUCUGUAACUGACGCUGAGGCGCGAAAGCGUGGGGAGCGAACAGGAUUAGAUACCCUGGUAGUCCACGCCGUAAACGAUGAGUGCUAAGUGUUAGAGGGUUUCCGCCCUUUAGUGCUGCAGCUAACGCAUUAAGCACUCCGCCUGGGGAGUACGGUCGCAAAGACUG